rnacentral:ribozyme from 2 species
CGCAGAGGGGGGGCCGCGCGUGGCGGCCCUAAUGCGGCAGGCCGGUCCCCAGCCCGG